GAUGACCGCCGGCGGCGUGCCUAAUACAUGUAAGUCGAGCGAACAGACGAGGCACACUCUCCUCUGACGAUAGCGGCGGACGGGGGAGUCACACGAGUAUACACGCCCUAUAAGACUGGGAUAACUUCGGGAAACCGGAGACAAUACCGGACACACUACUGAACCACAUGGCCCAAUAGCGAAAGUCGGCUUUGCUGCCUCUUAUAGAUGGCUCCGCGCCGCAUUAGCUAGUUGGUAAGGUAACGGCUUACCAAGGCAACGCUGCCUAACCGACCAGGGAGGGUGAUCUGCCACACUAGAACUGAGACACGGUCCAGACGCCUACGGGAGGCAGCAGUAAGGAGUCUUCCGCAAUGAGCUAAAGCCUGACGGAGCAACGCCGCGUGGGUGAUGAAGGUCUUCGGAUCGUAAAACUCUGUUAUUAGGGAAGAACAAAUGUGUAAGUAACUAGGCACGUCUUGACGUUACCUAAGCAGAAAGCCACGGCUAACUACGUG
rnacentral:rRNA from 1 species